UAUUUCUCUUCGCAGAAAUUCUAAUGUAUUACUAGUAUAUUAUUAAUAUAUUCUAAUAUAUUACUAAUAUAUUAAUUAAUUACAUUUAAUUUAUAUUUCUCUUUGCAGAAAUUCUAAUGUAUUACCUGGUAUUCCAGUUGUUCACCUUGCACACCCCCUGAGGCACUCAGACAUUACUUACCGUAGCACCUCAAACUUGCCAUGCAACUUUAAACCCCCGUGCAAUUAUAUAGACUGUUUCCCGAUCCUAGAAUGCCCUCACCUCCAGCAUUUGCCUGUUGACCCCGACUACCCUUCAAAAUUCUCGCCAUCUUUGUGAAGCUUUCCUUGGUUCUCUUAGACUAAGAUGAUGUCGCUUUCUUCUGAGCUGCUGUCGUACUUUGCAGCUAUAAUCUUACAUUUCAUGGUGAAUUGCAAUUAUUUUUCCAAAUCACUGUGAGCUCCUGAGCAUAUUACAAGGUGUAUCUAAGUUCUAUAGGACAAGGGCUUCAAUUCAUUCAACUCUUUAUCCUCAGGAGCUGAGAGGGAAGGGAGUCUGGCACAAAAUAAGACUAUGGUAAAUGUGUGCUGAUCUAAAGGAAUGGUCUCUGCAGAAGCAAACACGUUUCUAUAUGACACAAUAAAUGUGCUGAUGGUGACUGCCGACCCAGAAGUAUACACAACUUACUAUAUUCUGAUCAAAAGAAACGUUUGAGGGGCGCCUGGGUGGCUCUGUUGGUUAAGCUUCUGACUGUGAGUUUGAGCCCCACAUUGGGUAAGCUUGAGUUUGCUUCAGGUGAACUUGAGCCCCGCUUCAGGUGAGCACAAGCCCUGCUUCUUUCUCUCUCCCUGCCCCUUGUGGGAUUAUUUCUCUCUCCCUC